rnacentral:rRNA from 1 species
GAGCUUCCCAUACGGGUUGAAGCAUGACCGUAAGGACAUGUGGACAGUAUGGGAGUGAGAAUGUUGGCAUGAGUAGCGAGAUGUGGGUGAGAAUCCCACAGGCCGUAAACCCAAGGUUUCCAGGGGAAGGUUCGUCCGCCCUGGGUUAGUCGGGACCUAAGCUGAGGCCGAAAGGCGUAGGUGAUGGACAACAGGUUGAUAUUCCUGUACUACCGAUAACCGUUUGAGAGA